GAUGAACGCUGGCGGCGUGCCUAAUACAUGCAAGUCGAGCGAACGGACGAGAAGCUUGCUUCUCUGAUGUUAGCGGCGGACGGGUGAGUAACACGUGGAUAACCUACCUAUAAGACUGGGAUAACUUCGGGAAACCGGAGCUAAUACCGGAUGAUAUUUUGAACCGCAUGGUUCAAAAGUGAAAGACGGUCUUGCUGUCACUUAUAGAUGGAUCCGCGCUGCAUUAGCUAGUUGGUAAGGUAACGGCUUACCAAGGCAACGAUGCAUAGCCGACCUGAGAGGAUGAUCGGCCACACUGGAACUGAGACACGGUCCAGACUCCUACGGGAGGCAGCAGUAGGGAAUCUUCCGCAAUGGGCGAAAGCCUGACGGAGCAACGCCGCGUGAGUGAUGAAGGUCUUCGGAUCGUAAAACUCUGUUAUUAGGGAAGAACAGAUGUGUAAGUAACUGUGCACAUCUUGACGGUACCUAAUCAGAAAGCCACGGCUAACUACGUG
rnacentral:rRNA from 1 species